AUGAACGCUGGCGGCGUGCAUAAUACAUGCAAGUCGAGCGAACGGACGAGAAGCUUGCUUCUCUGAUGUUAGCGGCGGACGGGUGAGUAACACGUGGAGAACCUACCUAUAAGACUGGGAUAACUUCGGGAAACCGGAGCUAAUACCGGAUAAUAUUUUGAACCGCAUGGUUCAAAAGUGAAAGACGGUCUUGCUGUCACUUAUAGAUGGAUCCGCGCUGCAUUAGCUAGUUGGUAAGGUAACGGCUUACCAAGGCAACGAUGCAUAGCCGACCUGAGAGGGUGAACGGCCACACUGGAACUGAGACACGGUCCAGACUCCUACGGGAGGCAGCAGUAGGGAAUCUUCCGCAAUGGGCGAAAGCCUGACGGAGCAACGCCGCGUGAGUGAUGAAGGUCUUCGGAUCGUAAAACUCUGUUAUUAGGGAAGAACAUAUGUGUAAGUAACUGUGCACAUCUUGACGGUACCUAAUCAGAAAGCCACGGCUAACUACGUA
rnacentral:rRNA from 1 species